rfam:Triticum aestivum genome assembly, contig: Triticum_aestivum_CS42_TGACv1_scaffold_526384_6DL
GUACUACUCCCUCCGUCCGAAAAAAUUUGUCCCUCAAAUGGAUGUAUACAGCACCAAGUUAGUGCUAAAUACAUCCAUUUGAGGGACAAACUUGGGACAAGCUUUUCCGGACGGAGGGAGUAUGAU